rnacentral:rRNA from 1 species
UACGUAGGGGGCAGCAGUCGUUCGGAUUCGAUUGAUGGCGUAAAGAGCGUGUAGGCGGCCAGGUAGGUCUGCUGUGAAAACUCGAGGCUCAACCUCGAGACGUCGGCGGAAACCAUCUGGCUAGAGUCCGGAAGAGGAGAGUGGAAUUCCUGGUGUAGCGGUGAAAUGCGCAGAUAUCGAGGAAGAACACCCGUGGCGAAGGCGGCUCUCUGGGACGGUACUGACGCUGAGACGCGAAAGCGUGGGGAGCGAACAGG